rnacentral:rRNA from 1 species
CCUACGGGUGGCAGCAGUGAGGAAUAUUGGUCAAUGGACGAGAGUCUGAACCAGCCAAGUAGCGUGAAGGAUGACUGCCCUAUGGGUUGUAAACUUCUUUUAUAUGGGAAUAAAACGUUCCACGUGUGGGAUUUUGUAUGUACCAUAUGAAUAAGGAUCGGCUAACCCCGUGCCAGCAGCCGCGGUAAUACGGAGGAUACGAGCGUUAUCCGGAUUUAUUGGGUUUAAAGGGAGCGUAGGUGGAUUGUUAAGUCAGUUGUGAAAGUUUGCGGCUCAACCGUAAAAGUGCAGUUGAAACUGGCAGUCUUGAGUACAGUAGAGGUGGGCGGAAUUCGUGGUGUAGCGGUGAAAUGCUUAGAUAUCACGAAGAACUCCGAUUGCGAAGGCAGUUCACUGGACUGCAACUGACACUGAGGCUCGAAAGUGUGGGUAUCAAACAGGAUUAGAUACCCCAGUAGUC